CUUCGGAUCCGCGGCUCUCGUGUCGCGUGCCUGCGUGUCGCGUUGCGUGUCUACGGAGCAGUGUCCUGCCUCAGUCGGGUUGUCUGUGGCGAUCGAUCGGGAGAUGUCUCGGCGUUUUUGGGUGCCGUAGUCGCCGGAAUGCUUGCACCUCUAUUAUCGGAUGCAAGAAUCAAAUCCGGCCGAGCCGCACUCCGUUGCUACGUGCGAUGUUGACCUUCCUCAUCUACAAUCUCCUUGGUUCUCGGUUAUACUUCCCAGUGCCUGCUCCUCCGUGACCUUCCGCAGGUGCGUCCCUUUGGAACUUUUGAAAGUUACUUCUCUUACCACUGGUGUACAUAAAAUUUGGUGUUAAGUUUUUGUGCAGGUUCUGUAUUUCACUGUCACUUCUCUGUUGGAAUUUUUGAUUAUGGUGGUUUCCAUUGUGCGAUGACUCCACAAUGGGACUUUUUCUUAACUUCUACCGAAUUUCGCUUCUCAGUAUUGUUCUUUUAAAAGCAGUGUUAUUCCAUUUUGUCUCAAGCAUUUUAAAACUGAUCAGUUUCUGGGUUAUUUGUAUGUUCUUUGCCAAGACUAAUACUGGUUUUGUCUUUAUCUAUGCAUCGCAUCCUGAGCCUGCGAACGCCUACUCCCCGGUCAGCUGCUCCAUUUCUGCCGAUUGUCACCCCUGCAUUCCCUGGUCUGGUGCUGCAACGAUGACUGCUCAACGCACCUAUUGCUGCACUGAAAGUGAAGAGGUGGUGGACCUCCUCUGCGUUCCAAGGACAUUUCUGGCUUGAAUCAAUCUAUGUCAGCGGCGGAAUGAGUGUGAAAUUCUUGGAUUAUAAAUGUUGAAAGAAAAUUAUUUGUCAGGUGGAAGCCUAAAAAAUUAAGGAUGUUCUGGGUUUGUAUUGGUAUGCGAUGGAGCUA